rnacentral:piRNA from 1 species
UGUUCUUGAGAACGUUCAUGUGCUCCCAGA